UAGGGAAUCUUGCGCAAUGGGCGAAAGCCUGACGCAGCAACGCCGCGUGGGGGAUGAAGGCUCUCGGGUUGUAAACCCCUUUCAGCAGGGACGAAAUUGACGGUACCUGCAGAAGAAGCCCCGGCCAACUACGUGCCAGCAGCCGCGGUAACACGUAGGGGGCAAGCGUUGUCCGGAUUUAUUGGGCGUAAAGAGCUCGUAGGCGGUUCAGUAAGUCGGGUGUGAAAACUCAGGGCUCAACCCUGAGACGCCACUCGAUACUGCUGUGACUAGAGUCCGGUAGGGGAGCGUGGAAUUCCUGGUGUAGUGGUGGAAUACGCAGAUAUCAGGAGGAACACCAGCGGCGAAGGCGGCGCUCUGGGCCGGAACUGACGCUGAGGAGCGAAAGCGUGGGUAGCAAACAG
rnacentral:rRNA from 1 species